rnacentral:tRNA from 1 species
AUAGUUUAUUGAAAGCUGCUAACUUUUAAAUAGUACAUUA